rnacentral:rRNA from 1 species
AUUGAACGCUGGCGGCAGGCCUAACACAUGCAAGUCGAACGGAAAAAGCCUGCUUUCUCCUGGAGUCAGCGUCGGACGGGUGAGUGAUACCUAUGAAUCUGCCUGGUAGUGGUGGAUGACGUCCUCAAACGAGCGCUACUAACACCUGCGACCUGCGGCUGAAAGUGGGGGAGCGUCGGACCUCACGCUCGCAUGUGAGCCUAGGUCGGUUUAGCUAGUUGGUGGGGUAAAGGCCUACCUAGGCGACGAUCCGUAACUAGUCUGAGAGGAUGAUCGGUCACACUGGAACGGAGACACGGUCAAGAGUACUAAGGGAGGCAGCAGUGGGGAAUAUUGGACAAUGGGGGAAAGCCUGAUCCAGCGAUGCCGAGUGUGUGAAGAAGGUCUUCGGAGUGUAAAGAACGUUUAGUUGGGAGGAAGGGCAGUAAGUUAAUACCUUGCUGGUUUGACGGUACCAACAGAAUAAGCACCGGCUAACUACGUG